UAGUGCUGCAAUGUAAACAUUGCAGUUUUACAAAAACUGCAAUAUUUGACAUUGCAGGACUA
rnacentral:miRNA from 1 species